UUGACCUCAAAUCAGGUAGGACUACCCGCUGAACUUAAGCAUAUCAAUAAGCGGAGGAAAAGAAACUAACAAGGAUUCCCCUAGUAACUGCGAGUGAAGAGGGAAAAGCUCAAAUUUAAAAUCUGGCAGCUUCGCUGUCUGAGUUGUAAUUUAG
rnacentral:rRNA from 1 species